rnacentral:snRNA from 1 species
AUACUUACCUGGCAGGGGAGAUACCAUGAUCACGAAGGUGGUUUUCCCAGGGCGAGGCUUAUCCAUUGCACUCCGGAUGUGCUGACCCCUGCGAUUUCCCCAAAUGUGGGAAACUUGACUGCGUGAUUUGUGGUAGUGGGGGACUGCGUUCGCGCUUUCCCCUU